AUUGAACGCUGGCGGCAUGCCUUACACAUGCAAGUCGAACGGCAGCACGGGAGCAAUCCUGGUGGCGAGUGGCGAACGGGUGAGUAAUAUAUCGGAACGUGCCCGGUCGUGGGGGAUAACGUAGCGAAAGCUACGCUAAUACCGCAUACGAUCUACGGAUGAAAGCGGGGGAUCGCAAGACCUCGCGCGAUUGGAGCGGCCGAUAUCAGAUUAGGUAGUUGGUGAGGUAAAGGCUCACCAAGCCGACGAUCUGUAGCUGGUCUGAGAGGACGACCAGCCACACUGGGACUGAGACACGGCCCAGACUCCUACGGGAGGCAGCAGUGGGGAAUUUGGACAAUGGGCGCAAGCCUGAUCCAGCAAUGCCGCGUGCAGGAUGAAGGCCUCGGUU
rnacentral:rRNA from 1 species